rnacentral:rRNA from 1 species
CCUACGGGUGGCAGCAGUGAGGAAUAUUGGUCAAUGGCCGGAAGGCUGAACCAGCCAAGCCGCGUGAAGGACGAAGGUGCCAAGCAUUGUAAACUUCUUUUGUCAAGGAACAAAAUCUGGCUCGCGUGCCCGACCGAGUGUACCUGAAGAAAAAGCAUCGGCUAACUCCGUGCCAGCAGCCGCGGUAAUACGGAGGAUGCGAGCGUUAUCCGGAUUUAUUGGGUUUAAAGGGUGCGCAGGCGGCCUGUUAAGUCAGCGGUAAAAGCCCGGGGCUCAACCCCGGCGAGCCGUUGAAACUGGCUGUCUUGAGAUGGAGAGAGGUAUGCGGAAUGCGCGGUGUAGCGGUGAAAUGCAUAGAUAUCGCGCAGAACUCCGAUUGCGAAGGCAGCAUACCGGCGGCAAACUGACGCUGAGGCACGAAAGCGUGGGUAUCGAACAGGAUUAGAUACCCCGGUAGUC